GAAAAAGAGGGAGAGAGAGAGAGAGCUGUAACAUUACAAUUUUCUUUUAUCAGAACUAACAGUCCAAAGCUGUUCAUGCACAAGCUCUAUGAAGACAUGGUUUGCCAAAGUGGAACAGUACUAACAGUACAAAGCCCUCAUGCACAAGCUCUAUGAAGACAUGGUUUGCCAAAGUGGAGAGGAAGAACUCAAACAGGAUGCUCUGACCUCAGCCACAGCAAAUCCCUGAUCUCACUAAUGUUCCUGUGGCUGAACAAGCACGGCUCCGUGAUCGAGCAGAAUUCUCCUUCCCAGAAGAGUGGAGAUUCUUAUCAGAGCAAAGGGUGAGAUGAAAAGUUGAAUGCAUCAUUCAACAGGAACAUACUGUGUACUGAUCAGGUUGUCUUCCAUGCAGAUGUCACAUGUCACAUUGCUGGUGCAGUUUUGUCCCCUUUCCACCAGAAAGAACUGGGGGCCGGUUCAGAACCUUCUAAGAACCGGUUUGCCUUUUUCCAUGGGCUAGAGACCCAUCACAGAGCCGAGUCUUACGUCAUUGUAUAAAACGUUAUACAGUAACGUUAGCGCAGCGGCAGCAAACACAACAUCAACAACGGCGGAUGUUGCUUUACUGUUAAUGCUCAUGGCUUUGUGAACCUACACUGGCAUCUAAAUCUGAUUUGAAAUGAUAUAAAAAUGGCACUAACGACGUUCUAUUUUGUCUUGUUGGUCACAGUAACCCCGCUUCCAGCCCCUGACGCAAGCUGUUCUUAAGACUAGACCAGCAAUAUUUUGGUGCUACUUAAAAAACACUUUUCCUGGUUCAGAGCCGGUGCUUUGGGUGUUGAAAAAGAAAGAACUGAUUUUAAAUCAGGCUCUGAACCAGCACUCAAACUGCCUUGUUGGAAAAGGGCCACUAAAAGUGGUGGUUAAUAGAGAAACAAAACUCAAUCACAAAGGUCAGAUUUUGCUGUUAGCCCCAAAACACAAGAGGUGCUUUUUUCAUUCUUGAUUCUCCACCAUGGAAGAGAAAUCCACUGUAAAAGAUCCUGGUGCAAAUGUUGGCUUUAUAGGUGGAUUUUCCCUACUGGCAACUCGUCCACUGUAUUCCAAGAGAAUUAAAUCAAAUAUACACUAGAAAUCCAACAAACAUAAUCUUGAACUACACUUUGUGACACAUCGUAAUGCUUAUUUAAACUAAUUAGAUUUGCCAAUAUUAUAUCCUGCACAUUCAAAUAAGACACGGUGUAAAACUCCUUCAAACAGAACAUUUUAAUAUCUUGUGCAAAUGAUGUAGGAGAUAAAGUGUAAACCCGACAACGAAUCAAGGUUAUGGUACAAAUGAAAACAGUACAAUAAGGCAUGACCUCAACAUGCUGUAGAUUGCAUGCGAGGAAUUUAAGAGGCUUCGAUGGAGAGAAAAUACAGUAUAAUAAAAAUCACAAAUAAACAAAACUAUAUGACAGAUGCCUAUAUAUUAGAGAGAAUUUGUUCUUGUUCAGUGUUUACAUCUUCUGGAUCAUCACCUGGAAUUUA